UACGUAGGGUGCAAGCGUUAAUCGGAAUUACUGGGCGUAAAGCGUGCGCAGGCGGUUAUGCAAGACAGAGGUGAAAAUCCCCCGGGGCUCAACCGUGGGAACUGCCUUUGUGACUGCAUGGCUAGAGUACGGUAGGAGGGGGAUGGAAUUCCGCGUGUAGCAGUGAAAUGCGUAGAUAUGCCGGAGGAACACCGAUGGCGAACGGCGAAUCCCCCUGGACCUGUA
rnacentral:rRNA from 1 species